UAACACGUAGGAGGCGAGCGUUAUCCGGAUUUACUGGGCGUAAAGCGCGUGCAGGCGGCCCGGCAAGUUGGCUGUGAAAGCCCCCGGCUCAACCGGGGGAGGUCGGUCAAAACUGCCGGUGCUAGAGGAUGGGAGAGGGAGAUGGAAUUCCGGGUGUAGUGGUGAAAUGCGUAGAGAUCCGGAGGAACACCAGUGGCGAAAGCGAUCUUCUGGCCCAUCACUGACGCUCAGACGCGAAAGCUAGGGGAGCGAACGGGAUUAGAGACCCCGGUAGUCCUAGCCGUAAACGAUGUAGACUAGGCGUGGGCGGGUUCAAAUCCGUCCGUGCCGCAGCCAACGCGAUAAGUCUACCGCCUGGGGACUACGGCCGCAAGGUUAAAACUCAAAGGAAUUGACGGAGGCCCGCAC
rnacentral:rRNA from 1 species